rnacentral:rRNA from 1 species
GGAUUAGAUACCCUGGUAGUCCACGCCGUAAACGAUGAUCACUAGACGUCAGCUCUGUUUUGCAGGGUUGGUGUCGUAGCUAACGCGUUAAGUGAUCCGCCUGGGGACUACGAUCGCAAGAUUAAAACUCAAAGGAAUUGACGGGGGCCCGCACAAGCGGUGGAACAUGUGGUUUAAUUCGACACUCCGCGAGGAACCUUACCUAGGCUUGACAUGUACUUGACCGCUAUAGAAAUAUAGUUUUUUGAGCUUCGGUUCAAACGGGUACACAGGUGCUGCAUGGCUGUCGUCAGCUCGUGCCG